rnacentral:rRNA from 1 species
GACGAACGCUGGCGGCGUGCUUAACACAUGCAAGUCGAACGGAAAGGCCCUGCUCUUGUGGGGUGCUCGAGUGGCGAACGGGUGAGUAACACGUGAGUAACCUGCCCUUGACUUUGGGAUAACUUCAGGAAACUGGGGCUAAUACCGGAUAGGAGCUCCUGCUGCAUGGUGGGGGUUGGAAAGUUUCGGCGGUUGGGGAUGGACUCGCGGCGUAUGAGCCUGUUGGUGGGGUAGUGGCUUACCAAGGCUUUGACGGGUAGCCGGCCUGAGAGGGUGACCGGCCACGUUGGGACUGAGAUACGGCCCAGACGUCUACAGGAGGCAGCAGUGGGGAAUAUUGCGCUGUGGGGGGGAGGCUGAUGCGGCAGCGCCGCGUGCGGGAUGAAGGCCUUCGGGUUGUAAACCGCGUUCGCCUGUGAUGUAGCGGGAGUGACGGUAAUGGGUAAAGAAGCACCGGCUAACUACGUG